AGAUCAUGUUGUUGAGGGAGACAUUUGCUUGAGACAGAAAAAUUGGUCCAGCUCCUGCGCAGUUUGAAUAAGCGGGCUCUGGGGCUGAACAAAGAAGACAAAACAAAGUGGCGGCUGAAAAGCUCACUCGCCCCAUGGAAGGUUUAUAUCGCGGAAUAGAAAGCCACAUUCGUCUCAAAGCCGAGAAGAUACUUCCCAAAAAACCGGAAAAAGUAGAUCAGGAGAAAAUGUAUCCAAUUCAGAUUGUUGACUGAGAAAAAAUAGAAAAUAAAGUGAAAAUUGACUUCAUUGGAUAUUCAAGUGAUUUUGAUGAAUGGAGAGUUGGAGAUGCCUUACUUGACAGAGAAAAAAGUAGUCUUAAUCGCUUGGUACCAUGAUUCAUACCAAGUGAAGAUUCCUUGUCUGACAGGGCUUCAGCUUUAUUCCACCGCCUCGGCCACGAAAUAAAGUUUAGUCUAUUUUCAACCAAAAGGGAGUCACCGGAGGUUCAGACUGAGAUGCAGAUUGACAUGGAUAUCUAUAAAACAUAUUUAAAAAAUAUUGGAUUUGUAAAAAAGUCAAGAGGAUGGGAAGUACAUUGCGUUGACGAUAACUCAUUUAUGCGAUCUGCUUGGUAGUAGGUGGUUUUAGAGAACUCAAAAUGUAAAUGGAGACUUUGUUAUGUCAUUCUUGUAACUGUAAGAUUUUGGCUGCAUGAAAAAAAGCCUGUGAAAGAGUUUGUUUAUGUUGGCGAUACUCUUGUAGAAAGCCACACUAAAAGUGACUUGCAAGUCAUUUUUACAUUGAUGACAUGUAGUCGUUGGCCAAUAUUGGUACCAUCCACAGAAAGUUUAACUUGAAUGUUAUGAUUUUCUUUGAAAGCGGCACUAGAAGGACUAUUUUUCUUAAGAGUCUGCAACCUUACUUUUAGUCAUUCCUUGAUGCUCUGCUGAAUCCCACAAGUAUCAUUUGGAGUACUUGACAGAUUCCAUUUACUAUUUAAAGCCUUUACGUCUCCUUGACUUUCCAUGACCGAGGUAGUUCCUUGCAAAUCAUAGAAAGUUCAUGGUAUACUUCAUUUGAUAUAUUAAAUCUUUCCUUUGUGUA